GUCAUAAUGUGGCAGCUGCACGUUGCUGGGAUACUGAAAGCUAUGCCACUGGUAUUUCAAAAACUAGUUGGGUUCCCCAUAGUGGACAGGUUUCAGUGGAGCUUCCAGACUAAGACAGACUAGGAAGAAGGAGCUGGCCACCCAUUUCCAUGAAUCUCCAUGGAACCUUGUCUGAUACAGAGCUGAAGCAGUUCACUGUGUGCAUCCUGUAUGAUGAACCACAGCUUCCCUGCACUGUAUCACCGUCUCUGUCACCCACAGGCAUUCAGAACCUACUGAAGUGUAAAUCACUGCUUCAGAGAAGGCUGGCCACACCAGAGAACACAUUCGCAUGUUUGAACUUCUGAAGUUUCCUCUGAGGAAAGAAUUACCUCAAUAGUACCUGGCUUGAAUAUUUAUUAGGCACCAGGUACAUAACGUCCACUAAGUGUCUUCUACUGCUGUGCCUCCCGAUUCUCUGCUCAGGACCGAGUCACUCAUUAUUCUUAGUUUCUUGCAAGUCUUUGAAUUUGACCACACAAAGAUGAGUAUUUCUCUAGCAAGUUCCCCAGGUCCAAGAGAACCACUUAGCCCAAGAUCACAUCCCCUUCAUGAAGGAAGCACACACUUGUUGACUCUUCACAGCACCCCGGUAUACAGUUGCAUAUUCUUCGUUGUGGGUCCUUCUAGUUGUGGUAUGUGGGACGCUGCCUCAGCAUGGUUUGAUGAGCGGUGCCAUGUUCGCGUCUGGGAUUUGAACCAACGAAACACUGGGCCGCCUGCAGUGGAGCACGUGAACUUAACCACUCGGCAACGGGGCCAGCCCAAGAUAAAAUCUGCUUUUAAUAUUCAUUUCAAUGGUUUCUUUUUACUUUUUUUUUUUGAGGAAGAUUGGCCUUGAGCUAACGUCUGUUGUCAAUCUUCCUCUUUUUACUUGAGGAAGAUUGUUGCUGAGCUAACAUCUGUGCCAAUCUUCUUCUAUUUUAUGCAGGAUGCCACCACAGCAUGGUUUGACGAUCAGAGCUAGGUCCUGGCCUGGAUCUGAACCUGCAAACUCCUGACCGCUGAAGCUGAGUGUGGGAAGGCAAUCACCACACCAACAGGCCAGCUCCCUCUUUUUGCUUUACUUUUAAUGUGGCUACUAAAAAUGAAAUUAGAUGUAUAAGUUGCAUAUAUUUCUAUUAGAUAGUGCUGAUCUUGAUUCUUGCUACUCAGUUUGUAAUCCAUAGGCCAGCAGCAGUAACAUCACAUGGGAGACUGUUAGACAAGCAGAAUCUCAGGCUCUCGCUCAGAUCUACUAAAUACAACCUGAAUUUUGCUAAGUUCCCCAAGUGAUUUGUAUGCGCAUUACAUAUAGAGAAGUGAAGCAUGGAUCUAGAAAACUGUGUAAAGUUAGUCCUUUCAAUCUAUUCCCCUUCAGUUCUACCUUUCUCACUACUGUUUUCUUUAAAACUGUGUUCAUCCUUAUUUAAAAGCUCUAAAGGGUAUGAGUUAAUAUUUACAUAAAGUGCCAACUGCUUACUUUGCCGGGUACACAAGUGGCUCCUUGAUAUGAAUUCUCCAACCCCUCUUCUGUAUCCAAUAACUUAUACACAAUCAUUAAUGAAUUAUUUGUUGUUCUCCAAACAUAUUCUGCUAUUUUGUACUUCUCGUUUUUGCACAGGAUUUUCCUCUGCCUUGAAUAUCUUUCUUCUUCAUAUGCUAUGUGCCUGUAUGCUCUCAGAACAAUUUCAGAGAUUUUAAACUGUUAUUUGGUUUUUGAAAAAUAAUUUUCACAAGUGUGGCUGUUUUGCUGGGUUGCAGGUGGGUCCACAGAGCGCCUCACACUGCCCUUCUGGAUGUGGAUCUCCAACUCUGUAUCUACGCUCAUAAUCUUGUUCUGAUAGUUUUAAAAAGUAAAAGCGCCAUUCCUGAUGACCUGUUAAAAUCCUAUUUUUUGAAUGCUGUUGUGGAUACCUUGAACAUUUUACUGGUUUUCUCGUUAAUUAUUAACUUGAAUAAAGUCUUUGACACUAUUUUUCUCUCUAUAUAAGAGCCGCAGGAGAGAACUACACUGUGACAUUCUAAUUCCUGUUCAUCUAAACUUUCCUUGUGGAAAGUUUCCUGGUUCCCCCAUACAAAAUUAAACAUUUUGUUGCAAUUAUCACAACCAUUAUAAUUAUCCAUGGCCCUGUGUUUCUUCCAAUGCGAUGUGGUGUUAAAGACAACGCGUUAGUCACGUGCUUUAUUUACUCAUUUAAUCCAAGUUCCCCAGUUGGCUUUGUGUUUUAUCUAUAUUGCCAUAUUUGCCUUUUCUAUGAAUUGCCUAAAAAAGUUUUUAAAAGAGCUAUAAACUAACAAUGAUAGAUUCAACUGAGUUAGCACAUAUUCUCUCUGGGACGUAGUUUCUCAUUGAUAAAAUGAUGGAGGUGAGGUAGGUCAGAGGCCACAAUCUGCCCACCUCUUUCUUAGCAAAAUUUUUUUUUUAAAGAUUUUAUUUUUCCUUUUUCUCCCAAAGCCCCCCAGUACAUAGUUGUGUAUUUUUAGUUGUGGGCUCUUCUAGUUGUGGCAUGUGGGACGCCCCCUCAGCAUGGCCCAAGGAGUGGCACCAUGGCCACUCCCAGGAUUCAAAGCAGCGAAACCCUGGGCCGCCGAAGUGGAGCGUGUGAACUCAACCACUCGGCCACAGGGCUGGCCCCUCUUAGCACAAUUUUGAUAGAUUGUGUGUGUGCUUUUCUUUUAAAAAAAAUCUCCCAUUAUAUUGUCUAAACAGAGACUGCUUUUUCUCUAAGAUUGAGGAAAGAAAGAAAGAUGGAGUUGCAAAAGAAAAUAUUUCCAUUUCCAACACAUGUGUAUAUGGAACAGUUACAGGAAGGUCCCACUCUGCCUAAAGCAUUCUGUGAGGCAUUAGCCCAGCUCACCACGUGCACGGCAAACACAUGCAAGGAAAGCCAUUUUUACUGAGCAGAUCUGGUCCUGAGAAAGACAAACCCUUUUGGUUCUGUUUCAAGGCAGUUUAACCACCACGACGUAACAGCUGGAACUCCACUUUAGCCAUCUCUCACACAAGUCUUUCUGAUCGGUUAUGGAUUUUUCUCGUCAACAGCACAAACGCAGAAGGCUGACGACUGCUGGUUUCUGGCUGUCUGCUCACAAAGGCAGUUUGAUGGUGCGCUGAGCACUGGUAGAUUCCUUGUAUAUCUCCACAGCACACAUCGUAUCAGGAGAUACAUUCAGCCUGCUCUGUGCCCCCACUGCAAAAAAUUAAACUGAAUAAUCGAACAAACCACACCUUAAAUAAGAAAGAGAUUCUUUUCUAAGAUUGACAAAUUAUACUGAAAAUGUAUCAACUUUUCUCAACAAAAACUUUUUGGAAGGAUCAUUUCAAAUAUUUAAUGCUUUCUCUUUUUCCUUCAAAAUGGAAAACCCAAAUGUGAUGACUCUCCACUUACAAUGAGUUCAUUGUGCAUUUAUACAGGACACCAACCCUCAUGGCAGCCAGUGAUGUGCAUCUCUUUCCACAUUCCUGUGAAGUGACUUCUUUUUUUCUUUUUAAAGAUUGGCACCUGAGCUAACAACUGUUGCCAAUCUUCUUCUUUUUUUUCUUUCUUUCUGCCUUUUCUCCCCAAAUCCCCCCAGUACAUAGUUGUAUAUUUUAGUUGUGGGUUCUUCUAGUUGUGGCACGUGGGACGCCACCUCAGCGUGGCCUGAUGAGCGGUGCCAUGUCCGCACCCAGGAUCCGACCCGGCGAAACCCUGGGCUGCUGCAUCAGAGCGCGGGAACUCAACCACUCGGCCACGGGGCUGGCCCCAAGUGACUUCUCAUUGGUAGCUUGAGAGCAACAAACCAAACAAAUCAGGAUUUUCCCUCCAUCUGAGAGUUAGUUAUUAAAUAUUGACCAGCACACUUCUGAUUUUCAAUUUCCUUCCGUCUGAUCGUUCUGGGAUACGGCAAAGCUGAGCAUCAGAACUUGCAUCCUAGUAGAAGCACCAGGCAAAGAUACAGCAGAGCCACCUGGGUGCUGGUUGUUCAUCCUUUCCCUAGGCAAGAUUCUGACUUCUUAAAAUCCUUAUUUUUAAACUGCAACAAGAAUAUAUACAUUUUAAGUGGCAUUUUAUAAAGGAAAGGGACAAAAUUGUAAGAUAGCUAUUAUCUAAAUGACUAAAUAUGAUAAUGUCAACUUUUAUGGGCUUUACCAGUGAGGGAGCUUGUACGCUAUGAGACAGAGGCCUUGAGUGAAGAUUAGAGACCCUCUGCUCACUAAUGUGAUGUAAGGGAG
rnacentral:lncRNA from 1 species